rnacentral:rRNA from 1 species
CCUACGGGUGGCUGCAGUGAGGAAUAUUGGUCAAUGGCCGCAGGGCUGAACCAGCCAAGUCGCGUGAGGGAUGACGGUCCUAUGGAUUGUAAACCUCUUUUGUCAGGGAGCAAAGGGCGCCACGUGUGGCGUUUUGCGAGUACCUGAAGAAAAAGCAUCGGCUAACUCCGUGCCAGCAGCCGCGGUAAUACGGAGGAUGCGAGCGUUAUCCGGAUUUAUUGGGUUUAAAGGGUGCGCAGGCGGAAUGUCAAGUCAGCGGUAAAAUUUCGGGGCUCAACCCCGUCGUGCCGUUGAAACUGGCGUUCUUGAGUGAGCGAGAAGUAUGCGGAAUGCGUGGUGUAGCGGUGAAAUGCAUAGAUAUCACGAGGAACCCCGAUUGCGAAGGCAGCCUGCCGGGGUGCGACUGACGCUGAGGCUCGAAGGUGCGGGUAUCAAACAGGAUUAGAUACCCGUGUAGUC